rnacentral:rRNA from 1 species
CCUACGGGAGGCAGCAGUGGGGAAUAUUGCACAAUGGGGGAAACCCUGAUGCAGCGACGCCGCGUGAGCGAUGAAGUAUUUCGGUAUGGAAAGCUCUAUCAGCAGGGAAGAAGAUGACGGUACCUGACUAAGAAGCCCCGGCUAACUACGUGACAGCAGCCGCGGUAAUACGGAGGGGGCAAGCGUUAUCCGGAUUUACUGGGUGUAAAGGGAGCGUAGACGGGUAUGAAAGCCAGAUGUGAAAGCCCGGGGCUCAACCCCGGGACUGCAGUUGAAACUGUGUGGCUGGAGUGUCGGAGAGGCAGGCGGAAUGCAUAGUGUAGCGGUGAAAUGCGUAGAUAUUAGGAGGAACACCAGUGGCGAAGGCGGCCUGCUGGACGACGACUGACGUUGAGGCUCGAAAGCGUGGGGAGCAAACAGGAUUAGAUACCCUAGUAGUC